UUCGAAGAGGCAAAGGAAGUAUUGAUAGAAGACAGCAAGAAUGGAAGAUUGGUGAGAAGUUAGACACCAGGCCUGGAAGUGACAUACAUCAUUGGAACCCACAGUUUACUAACCAGAACUCAGUCACAUGUCACUAACCAGGAAGAUGCUGGGAGUGGUAUGGUGAUGUACCCAGAAGAAACAGGAGAAACACAAAUGCCCUCAAGCUCCUUUGUCGAAGAUUAGCUGUCCAUAGAUGUGUGGUUUUGGUGCCAAACUUUUUUUGACAAAACUUUAGCUUUUCAGAGAAUUUCAGACUUCAGAAUUGCAGGUCUGAUCACGCUAACCUCCAGUUAAGUAAGGUGCUAUAUUAUGUGUACCAUAUAAAUAAGAUUUAGCAAGCACUGCUUCUAUUCAAUCAGGAGAAAAAAAAAUCUUCCUAGCAAAGUAAAACAAGUGAGGAACAUGUACUGACUUGUACUUCGGCCAUUUAUGGAGCAAUUUGCUUGUGUAUGUCAACACCAUUGUUCACAACUCUGCAAUUUUUAAUAAGUGCUGGCCAAUGUGAUGAAAACAUUAGCACAAUACAACCCAACUUCCCUGUAUGCUAGCUAUCAAGGAAAAGGAGUGAUCAAAAGACAAAAGUCCUUUAAAGAAUUGACCUAAUGUCCUUCAACGUGGGUGGUUUAACGUAAAAAUAUUUUGUAAACUCAGUAUGAAAGUAUCAUUUUCUUAUGCAAUUCUUUUCUUAUUAAGUCGGCUUUAUAUUAAUAAAGUUUAAUUUCUUUUCUAAUAGGUUACUUUAAUUAUUUACUAGAAAUUAAAUUCCUGCAACACUAUAUUCCUAAAUUACUUUUAAUAUUUCAAAAUAACCGUGGCCAGAAUCUACCCUAUAAACACAUAUACAAGAUGCCUUAAGAAAAAAAAAUAGACAUCUAGCUCUAAUAUACUUAACUUGAUUUUAAGUCAUGAUAAUCUCAAGCAAAAUAGUAUAUUCCUCUAGGUAGAGUCAAUCCAGUGAAAAAAAUUCACUAACGUAUACGUGGAUAAGAAGAAUAACAAAGUGGUAUUCACUGGGUUCUUUAAAUCAGCAAGUGAAGACUUUAUUUGAAUCUCUUGAUCCCUGCCAAAGUCCAUCUGUUUACACCGAUUGUUUGGAACGCUCAACGGAGUAUUUACAAAGAGCAAACAGCAGGUUAAGUUUAGAACACGUGACUUCCUCAAUAAUUAUAUUUAAAUAGCACACGGUUAGAAGUUAGAUUCGCCAUAGGACACUGGAGAAAGCCUGAAUUCUUAGUCUUCAAAGAAAAAACACCAAAAGGAAAAUGAUGUUCAAGCUAUCACUCAUCAGCCUGCUCCUCCUGUUUGUUGAUAACACUCAAACGACCUCAACUCCUGUGACAGUCUUGAGUCCCAGUGUGAGCCUGUAUUCUAAGACAACUCUGAAUUCCCAGACAACCUCGAAUCCCAAGAUGACUUCAAAUCCCAGGAUAAUUCUGGGAACAAGAGUGACCUCUAAGAUAGUUACAAGCAGGAAUAUGACGACUACAAAAAGCGGUGGCACCAUACUGAAUCCAAUGGACAACAUUCACUUUCUUUUCUAUGUAAUAUUUUUGCUGUUUUGUGUGCAGUGAGGCUGAAGUGGACUUCAACUGUCUGCAUUCUUAUGUCAGUUCAUUAUUAUCUGCUGAAUGACAACAAGCACACUAGGAAAAUCAAAUUUAUUUCAACUUACUUCUUAGGAAGUUAUUAUCCUAGCUUAAUUUGGUUGUCUGCAAAUUUAAUUGUGUAAGUUUAAUUAUCACCUUAAUAUGAUGGUUUCCUUCCUUAUAAAUGCUAAAAUAAGUGAAAUACCACAUUUGCCUUUUAAGUGUUUGCAAAACUGAAUUGAAACUCAGACUUUUACAUUAAAGGUGUAAGAGAAGAAACCAGAAA